UUGCCUACGGGACGCAGCAGUGAGGAAUAUUGGUCAAUGGCCGAGAGGCUGAACCAGCCAAGUCGCGUGAGGGAUGACGGCCCUACGGGUUGUAAACCUCUUUUGUCGGGGAGCAAGACCCGCCACGAGUGGCGGAGCGAGAGUACCCGAAGAAAAAGCAUCGGCUAACUCCGUGCCAGCAGCCGCGGUAAUACGGAGGAUGCGAGCGUUAUCCGGAUUUACUGGGUGUAAAGGGAGCGUAGACGGCAUAGCAAGUCUGAAGUGAAAGCCCGUGGCUCAACCGCGGAACUGCUUUGGAAACUGGU
rnacentral:rRNA from 1 species